CAGGACUCUACCUGACUUCCGACCUUCUUCUUCACCAUGGAACCUUCAGAGCCCACCUGAUCCUCACAGUUUUGUAUUUAAGCCCGUGACGCUGUCCCUCAGUGGGUGGUGGCAUCCCUGCAGCUGCAGCCAGGUAUCCUGGGACUCCUCCUCAUCACUCAUCUUCACUGGCUUUGAGACGACUGCCCCAUUGGUGAACCAGGGGGUUCCAGCCCCCGUUGUAAGCCGAACUUAACCAUAUUUUUCCCUGCUCCACCACACCUGCUUUGAGUUACUGGGGUACCUGACAGCUUCUGCAGAACCUCAUGACAGCUAGCUGAUUCCUUACAAGCUGCCUCUGGAGGAACAUGUCUGAAACCUGCCUGGGGAGGUCCUCCAGAAGGUUCUUAGAGAGUCAUCAUGUCUCCUGAGUCUCUGGUCUGUCCUGGUGAGAGGUGUCUAUGAGUCCUUACCAGGUGUCCCCUCCAAUGAAGACUAUGAGGUCCUUCUGACCGUGUCCUUCAGGUUAAACCCAGG